GACGAACGCUGGCGGCGUGCUUAACACAUGCAAGUCGAACGGUAAGGCCCUUCGGGGUACACGAGUGGCGAACGGGUGAGUAACACGUGGGUGAUCUGCCCUGCACUUCGGGAUAAGCCUGGGAAACUGGGUCUAAUACCGGAUAGGACCACUGCCUGCAUGGGUGGUGGUGGAAAGCUUUCGCGGUGUGGGAUGGGCCCGCGGCCUAUCAGCUUGUUGGUGGGGUGAUGGCCUACCAAGGCGACGACGGGUAGCCGGCCUGAGAGGGUGACCGGCCACACUGGGACUGAGAUACGGCCCAGACUCCUACGGGAGGCAGCAGUGGGGAAUAUUGCACAAUGGGCGCAGGCCUGAUGCAGCGACGCCGCGUGAGGGAUGACGGCCUUCGGGUUGUAAACCUCUUUCAGCACCGACGAAGCGCAAGUGACGGUAGGUGCAGAAGAAGGACCGGCCAACUACGUGCCAGCCGCCGCGGUAA
rnacentral:rRNA from 1 species